GGCCUGGUGGUGCAGUGGUAGCACUCGUGGAUGUACUUUGCAUUGUGUCGGCACUUAUUCUCUGCACGACCCUUGUUUGAUUCAAGGCCAUGCCU